UAGGGAAUCUUCGGCAAUGGGGGGAACCCUGACCGAGCAACGCCGCGUGAGUGAAGAAGGUUUUCGGAUCGUAAAGCUCUGUUGUUAAGGAAGAACGAGUGUGAGAAUGGAAAGUUCAUACUGUGACGGUACUUAACCAGAAAGGGACGGCUAACUACGUGCCAGCAGCCGCGGUAAUACGUAUGUCCCGAGCGUUGUCCGGAUUUAUUGGGCGUAAAGCGAGCGCAGGCGGUUAGAUAAGUCUGAAGUUAAAGGCAGUGGCUCAACCAUUGUAGGCUUUGGAAACUGUUUAACUUGAGUGCAGAAGGGGAGAGUGGAAUUCCAUGUGUAGCGGUGAAAUGCGUAGAUAUAUGGAGGAACACCGGUGGCGAAAGCGGCUCUCUGGUCUGUAACUGACGCUGAGGCUCGAAAGCGUGGGGAGCGAACAGGAUUAGAUACCCUGGUAGUCCACGCCGUAACGAUGAGUGCUAGUGUUAGUCCUUUCCGGGACUUAUGCCGCAGCUAACACAUUAAGCACUCCGCCUGGGGAGUACGACCGCACGGU
rnacentral:rRNA from 1 species